GUGCUAGACGCUUCAAUAGCACAUAUACUAAUACUCGAAUAAUACAGAGAUUAGCAUGGCCCCUGCACAAGGAUGACACACAAAUUUGGAGAAGUGUUCCCUAUUUCU
rnacentral:snRNA from 1 species